rnacentral:rRNA from 1 species
CCUACGGGAGGCAGCAGUGAGGAAUAUUGGUCAAUGGGCGGAAGCCUGAACCAGCCAAGUAGCGUGCAGGAUGACGGCCCUACGGGUUGUAAACUGCUUUUAUACGGGAAUAACGCGCCUUACGUGUAGGGCUUUGCAUGUACCGUAUGAAUAAGGACCGGCUAAUUCCGUGCCAGCAGCCGCGGUAAUACGGAAGGUCCGGGCGUUAUCCGGAUUUAUUGGGUUUAAAGGGAGCGUAGGCCGCAUGUCAAGCGUGCUGUGAAAUGUCCGGGCUCAACCCGGGCCUUGCAGCGCGAACUGGCGUGCUUGAGUCCGCGGAAAGCAGGCGGAAUUCGUCGUGUAGCGGUGGAAUGCUUAGAUAUGACGAAGAACCCCGAUUGCGAAGGCAGCUUGCUGCAGCGGAACUGACGCUGAUGCUCGAAAGCGCGGGUAUCGAACAGGAUUAGAUACCUGUGUAGUC